GGGAGGCUGUCUGCAUGCCCGUUUGAUCUUCAGUCAGCAUUAUGAACAAGCACAGUAUUUAAAUGCCUGAGAGGAUGAUAAAUCAUCAGUUAUGAAAAGAGUCUCCUUCAUGGUGAUCAGCACUUCCCAAAUAAAUAAAUGCUUGCAGAAAUUAUUGAAAAAAAUGAAAUAAGAAGCAUGGACACCGGGAAGUAAAGCAGUGAUGGUGACCAUGUAAAACCAGAAGUGAGUCUGCCAUGUGCUGAACACCCAUGUCUCCAUGGACUCCCAGCUCCCCAGCAGUGAAGUAGCUGUGAAUUGCAAAGCUGAAAUUUGUGUGUGAGUGCUGAGCCCUAUCAGAUGGGUUGUGGUCCCAGUGUGUGACCCACAUGCUGAUAUGGCACUCUACUUUGUAUUAUCUUUUUUUUCCUGCUGCAUUCUUAUUCCUACAUAAAAAGUCAUUUGUUGUCUCAUACCUCAAAGCCCUUUUGAUGAGUUUGUGAAGAGGUAUUUCUGAGUGAUUUUUCUGUUUGGUUUAUGAUUCUUUAUUUUUUCUUGAAGAUGUUAUUGCUUGGAGUCUUGAUUUUUUCAGAGGAAACAAAAUUAAAUAAUGGUUAUAAAUAGAGACACUUAGGUUAUGUAAGUUUGCCACGCUACUGUUUUAAUGAAAAAAAAAAAGAAUCGGUUAUCAUAUUGGUCUCACAAUAGGCUACGCUGAUCACUGAUCCUAGCAAUAAUGUGUUAUCAUCCCUUUUUAUCCACUGCAACUGUAUUUCAUUUACUCUUGGCAAGUUGCUACAAUCACUGUUAGAGAUUUUUUUCAAUCAGUUUUAAAAUUAGCCUUAAAGAUUGCAGUGCUACACACUAGGAAGUUCAACCAAGAGAGAGAACAUAAAGCAAUAUUUUUAAGAAAUAUGCAACAUUUAGAGUAUUUCUCUGUAAUUGUAUGCAGCUACUAAAAACCUGCUUUGGAAGAACCUCACAAUUUCAUCUAAACUGUUUUCUUUAAUUCAUCCUAAGCUAUUUAAUUUUUUAAAAAAAUACUUAUUUUCCCAAGCCACAGAAUUUUUCCAGUAUAAUAAUUUUUUAGGUGAAUGGUAGACAUAUAUUUGAUUUACAGCCUUGUGCCUCAUGCAAAACUGGAAGGACAGUAUGUCACUGAAACAGAAAACUCACAAUAUAUUAUUACACUCCUCUCUGCAUUGCUCCCUCUGCAUCUUUUGACUGCAAAAAACUGAUUCCCUUUAGUGUUCAUACUUCAUGACAAUUCAAAGGUCAGCUGUCAGCUGACAAGCUCAGACAGCUUGGUCACCUGUUGUCAGUUAAUACAAUAUUUUCUGUCUUGAAAUGGUAUCUCCCCACCAGCAUCCUCUUUCUGGAGUAAUGGAAGUGGUGUUCUUAGCUAAGUAUAAAAAUACCCAAGCUCCAAAAUAUGUCGUUCAUGUAGUCCUAAAAAUGUUGGAGUUGAUUUAGAAAUGUAAGUGGGAAUGCUUGUGAAGAGGAUGAAGCAAGGCAGUUUCUGAAUACAAUUGUUUUUUGCAAAGAAAAUUUCCAAAAUGGAGUUUUUUAUUUAAAAUACCUCUUUUAAAAAUAUUUUGCAAUUUCUGUAGUUGUAGUAUAAUGACAAGUAAGGAGACACAGCCAAUAUUUAAGGAGAGCAUGUACAAUAUAAGUAUUUAAUAUUGUUGACCUAUCUAAAAAAAUGCGAUUUGUCAGAGAACUUGUAUGCUUUAGAGUAUAGGUAUGGUAAAAUUUCUGAUUGAAGAAGGCAAUAUUUUUCAUAAAUAACUAACAAUUUUCUGAUUUCUGUCAAAAAAAUGCAUACUUUUAUCUGCAGUUGUUGAUGAAAUCUAUAGCUUCUGCUUUUGCCAUAUUUCAUGAAAUCAGCUUAGAAUUUGUGACAUGAAGCACAGAUCCAAAUAUAUUUAGUGCAAGAGUUAGCAGAAGCUAGUGUGCUGUGUCAGAAAACUGAAUCUCUUGAUAUUUGUGUGUGAAGUGAUUAUGGUGAGAAGGAAUAUAUUCAGACCCAGAUGCAGAAAGAGGAAACAUCAAAUUAAAAGAGAGCAUUAUCUCUCCAAAGAAUUACUAUGAAAAUAUUUGAGAGAGGCACUUCACAGCCAAAACAUAUGCUUAGCCUCAAUUAAUACUAGCUUUCAAGCUUAUUAAGAUCCUGUUUUAAGCCGACACUUCUGAUUACAGCAGUAAUUUGUUCCUGGUGUAAUCUCCUGGACCGUGGUCCAGCUUUGCACAAAAAGCUUCCAAACAAGUACCACAAUCCUCUGUGUAUCCCUGAAAUUUGCUGUUGAUUUGUUUGUGGUAUUUUUACAGAAGGUCCUAGAACUCUAAUAUAGUGUAUAAGUAUAUAUAAAUAUUAAAAAAAACCAAAACGGGCUAGAUCAAGACACUGAAAAAAUUUUAAAAUGCUUUUUUAAUUUCUUCAUGAGAAAAUAAAUUUUUUUUCAAAUUAGGAAGAAACUUUUUUUCAUUAUUUUCAUAAAAGGACUUAAUUUUUUACUACUGUAAUACAUGAGUUGAUACCUCAGUUUGGUAAUUACUAGGAAGUAACCAUAGUCCAAAAGAAGGAGUAAAUAAUAUCAAAUAAUGCAAGGAAUGAACGUACAGCUUGCACACAAAACAGCAUUGACAUGCAGUUACAAAAAAGCAUCAAUGUAGUGCAAUCAAUGCUGCAGACAAUAUCUUUUAAAUCUGUCAUCCUGCCUUUUGCCCUUUAUAUUAAGUCAAAGAGAAGGGGCUAUAAUGAAUGAGUGUGUCUCUAUUCUCCUCAGCACCAAUUCUGUUACAAACCUGGCAAUAUGACAUUCAACAUGAUUAAUUCUGGAUUGCAACUCCGUUUAUUUUUUCUCAUGUAUACACAAAAAGUGUUGCCAUUAUUUAAAAGAACCCAAACCCAGUAUAAAUUGAAACUAAUUCCAAAAGUGAUACUACAAGAUGACAGACUCAAAAAUAUAAGGUUUUUAGUAUAUUUUUAGUAGUACAUUAUCUACUUUUUUAUAUUUAUAUUUUUUUCCCCUUCUAUAAUGUAGUUGAGUAAUAUGAAAGUGCUUAGCAUUGUAAAUGCAAUGCUGGCCAGUUUAUUACUAGUGUCCUAAUAGGUUUCCUGCAUUAAAAAUAAUACAUAACUGGAGGAAAUCUCUAGGUUUUAGCACAUAUUAUGAAGUGUAUUCUGCAAAACAUUGAUAUUUCCUCUUGCUUUGUAUCAGAAGGGGGCACUAGUGAUCCAUUAUAAACAGACAGUGUGACUGCUUUUGUUGUGCCAUAUUUAAUAAUUAUAAUAGCGAUAAUAUAAUAUCUCCAUUUAAUAUUGAGGGCAUUUGUGUGCAAAUUAAGAUUCUAAAUAUAUAAUUAUAAUUCAAAAAUUUAAAAUAAUUAAUAGCUUAUAUGUAAAUACUAUCUGUUGCCUUUCAUUGUCUUUUAAUACUAUUAUUGGUACAUAAAUCUUGCAGUUCAUUUAUUGUUAGCAAGGAUGAACUAAUGCUGAUUAUUUAAUAUCUAAUUCUGAUCAUUACUAAUCUUAAAGAUAUGAACUUGAAUUGUAAAUCAUCUUGGAAAUGUUAAUUAAUA